AUUGAACGCUGGCGGCAGGCCUAACACAUGCAAGUCGAAUGAGUGGCGGACGGGUGAGUAAUGUCUGGUAAACUGCCUGAUGUAGGGGGAUAACUACUGGAAACGGUAGCUAAUACCGCAUACCAUCAGAUGGGCCCAGAUGGGAUUGGCUUGUUGGUGGGGUAACGGCUCACCAAGGCGAAGCUCCCUAGCUGGUCUGAGAGGAUGACCAGCAACACUGGAACUGUGACACGGUCCAGACUCAGACGGGAGGCAGCAGUGGGGAAUAUGUCACAAUGGGCGCAAGCCGGAUGCAGCCAGGACGCGUGGAUGAAGAAGGCCUUCGGGUUGGAAAGUACUUUCAGCGGGGAGUCGUUACCCGCAGAAGAAGCACCGGCUAACUCCGGGCCAGAAGCCGCGGUAAUAC
rnacentral:rRNA from 1 species